CUAAAGAAAGAGUAAAAUCUCCUCCUAUUGCUACUUUCAGGACUAUUUACUAGAUUUAUAUAGUUAUGAAAAUCUAACUAACUGACAAAGCGUCUAUUCACAUCGUAGUUUUCUUCGAGAUUGGGUUGGUGUUCAGUGUACCGAGUACAAGAUGGAAAAGAAUACGAGGCAUUCUAAGUGAGAUGUCCAAAAUAAAAGGAACGAUGGGGAGAAUCGAUGAGGAAUCUAGAACAUAAAAUCAUGAAUGAAAAAGCGUGAGGAGAAUUCUCAACUCGAGAUGUUAGAAGGUGCAAAAUAAAUUGGUGUCGGAGCUGCUACAACUACUUCAGCGGAAGCUGCUGUCGAUUUUGGAAACGUCCUUAGUUCCUUGAUUCAUUCCGUGGCAUGAAAUCCAUCAUGACUGAACAAUUAUUUGGUUAUGCCAUUUUGGGCUUUGCUCUGACCAAGGUAAUUGCCUUGUUUGCAUUAAUGAUGGCCUUUUGAUCUCGUCCAUAUUCUGAUCAAAGAAAGAAAGGCAGGGAGGCUAUUCCCUGAAAAUGCCUCGCCCAUAGGUUCCUUUGUUGUUGGGGCUUACAAUUCACCUUGUGACUCAUUCCUUCAAUCAACCAUUCUUUGGGCAUUAAUCCAUCUAUCACUCAAUCAUAGGCCGCUCCGUCAUUGUCUUUGUUUUAGUAUGUCGCUCUACGAGUAAGGAACGAAAGUCUUUUUGAUCACACUCGAAUGUAUCUACUUAUCAUAUUUAUCAGUAGUUUCGUAACAAGUUUUGUUGAACGUUUUCUAGGAGCAGAAGGAAUCGAUAUAAUGACCACAAGUUAGAAUAUCGCGAUUUUUGCAAUACUGAUUAUCGGCUUAAUCUUUAUCUUUUGUCAUUAUUGUUUUCGUUGGAAAAAGCUGUACGGCUUUCAACUUGUCUUUAUUAUAUAUAUCCAUUCUAUUGUGUUGCUCUUUCUUGUCCUAUUUUAUCCGCAUUUAU
rnacentral:lncRNA from 1 species